rnacentral:rRNA from 1 species
AGAGUUUGAUCAUGGCUCAGAUUGAACGCUGGCGGAAUGCUUUACACAUGCAAGUCGAACGGCAGCACGGACUUCGGUCUGGUGGCGAGUGGCGAACGGGUGAGUAAUGUAUCGGAACGUAUCCAGUAAUGGGGGAUAACUAAUCGAAAGGUUGGCUAAUACCGCAUACGCCCUACGGGGGAAAGCAGGGGAUCUUCGGACCUUGCGUUAAUGGAGCGGCCGAUAUCUGAUUAGCUAGUUGGUGAGGUAAGAGCUCACCAAGGCGACGAUCAGUAGCUGGUCUGAGAGGACGACCAGCCACACUGGAACUGAGACACGGUCCAGACUCCUACGGGAGGCAGCAGUGGGGAAUUUUGGACAAUGGGCGCAAGCCUGAUCCAGCCAUUCCGCGUGAGUGAAGAAGGCCUUCGGGUUGUAAAGCUCUUUCGCAAGGGAAGAAACGAUGCAGACGAAUAAUCUGUGUUAAUGACGGUACCUUGAUAAGAAGCACCGGCUAACUACGUGCCAGCAGCCGCGGUAAUACGUAGGGUGCAAGCGUUAAUCGGAAUUACUGGGCGUAAAGCGUGCGCAGGCGGUUUUGUAAGUCA